UAGUCUACGCCGUAAACGAUGUACACUUGGUGUCUGCAGAGAAUGUAGGUGCCGUAGCUAACGUGUUAAGUGUACCGCCUGGGGAGUACGGUCGCAAGACUGAAACUCAAAGGAAUUGACGGGGGCCCGCACAAGCAGUGGAGUAUGUGGUUUAAUUCGAGGCAACGCGAAGAACCUUACCAGGGCUUGACAUCGCCUGACAGCGCUAGAGAUAGCGUGUCUCUUCGGAGCAGGUAGACAGGUGGUGCAUGGUUGUCGUCAGCUCGUGUCGUGAGAUGUUGGGUUAAGUCCCGCAACGAGCGCAACCCUUGCCGUUAUUUGCCAUCAUUAAGUUGGGCACUCUAUCGGGACUGCCGGUGAUAAAUCGGAGGAAGGUGGGGAUGACGUCAAAUCAUCAUGCCCCUUAUGUCCUGGGCUACACACGUACUACAAUGGCCACUACAAUGGGAAGCAAGAUCGCGAGAUGGAGCAAAUCCCCAAAGGUGGCCCC
rnacentral:rRNA from 1 species